AAAUAGUUUUAUUUUGGCUAAAAAAUUUAUUUUAAAUUUAUUUUAUAUGUAAAUUUUUGUGUGUUUAAUUAUCUAUCUUAAUGAAAUUUAAUUUUAUUUAUUUUCAGUAAUUAAUUUUAUUAUAUUUAAAGAAAUUUAUAAAUAGUAAUAUUUUAAAGUAUUGAUGAAAUUUGUGCCAGCAAUCGCGGUUAUACAAAUAAUACAAAUAAAUUUUAUUGAUAAAAGUUAAAUUAAAAUUUAUUUAAAUAAAAUUAUUUAUGUUAGGUUAAAUUUUAUAAAUAAUUUUUAUUAAUUUUUAAAUAAAUUGAAACUUGUAAAUUUUAAAUUAAAACUAGGAUUAGAUACCCUAUUAUUAUAAAAUGUAUUUAAAAAUAUUUGAGUAGUAAUAGUUAUGUUCUUGAAACUUAAAAAAUUUGGCGGUAUUUUUAUCUAUUUAGAGGAACUUGUUUAGUAAUCGAUAUUCCACGAUGGACCUUACUUAGUUUUGUUUAAUUUAUUUGUAUAUCGCUGUUAUAGAAUAUUUUAUGAGAAAAAUUAAUAUUCAAUAAUUAAUAUAAUAAUUUAUAUCAAGUCAAGGUGCAGUUUAUAAUUAAGUUUUUAAUGAGUUACAAUAGAUUUAUUUAAACGGAUAUUAUAAUGAAAUUUAUAAUUUAAGGUGGAUUUAAUAGUAAAAUUUUAAAGAUAAAAAAUUUGAUUUUAGUUCAAAAAUAUGUACACAUCGCCCGUCGCUCUUAUUAUUAAGAUAAGAUAAGUCGUAACAUAGUAGAUGUACUGGAAAGUGUAUCUAGAAUGA
rnacentral:ncRNA from 1 species